UCUUUGGUCAUUCCCGGCUGGGUACCUGUAGAAAUCUUGCUGACUUGCUGCUGUUCUGUUCACCUCAUUUCACAGGAUCUAUUGGCCAUAGUGGGUUUUUUUUUCAUCCAGGAAGUGCAUCGUCUCUCCUUUUGUCCAGACCUACUCCCCCUUUGUUGUGCUGCCGUAUCAUCCAGCCGUGGUUGAUGUUGUGCCUAUUGUAGUUAUUGCUUCACACCUUGAGAAAUCCUUGUGGCGGAAGGAAGUCAUAUAUCAUCGCUGCAGUGAAGUGCAAGGAAGAACCUAUAUCAGAUGGUUUUUGCGAAGAUGGGAGAAGAGCUACCAGAGUGGUUCCUUCUUGGUCGAUCUAAUGCUCAUACACAGGUAAAUACCGAUUCAUCUCAUGUUAGCUCAGAGGAUGUCCCUGUCCCUAUCGACCAUGACGUCAGCCAUGGCAAUAUUGAAGGCGACAAUGAUGAGGGGAACAUUGGUGUUAACGAUAACAACUGUGGCUUCAAUCUUCAUGGUGCCUCUCGAGGAGGAUCUCACUAGUCUACUUGCAUGGCAAUUGAUGACUAAUCGUCUUUGCGGUAUUUUGGAUACGAGUGUAGAAGUACCAUAUGUUCCACGCCUUCUUAUCCUUUUGUUGCAUUCACUUUUCUGAAGUGAUAUGUAUGUAACUGAUGUCCCUGAUCUUCAACCUAGGAGGCUUUCUAUCCAUGUAUUUUGCUAUCACUGCAUUGCGUUGUGCAGUGUGAUGGAUGAUAAUUAGACUGGUGGCGGCAUAUAUGUAUGUAGCAGUACUGUUGUAUGCAACAUGUAUAUAUUCCUUUUAUGGACUGCUUUUAUGGACUGCUUUUAUGUGACAUGUAUAUAUUCCUUUUGGAUGC